UACGAAGGGGGCUAGCGUUGCUCGGAAUCACUGGGCGUAAAGCGCACGUAGGCGGCUUAUUAAGUCAGAGGUGAAAUCCUGGAGCUCAACUCCAGAACUGCCUUUGAUACUGAUGAGCUUGAGUUCGGGAGAGGUGAGUGGAACUGCGAGUGUAGAGGUGAAAUUCGUAGAUAUUCGCAAAGAACACCAGUGGCGAAGGCGGCUCACUGGCCCGAUACUGACGCUGAGGUGCGAAAGCGUGGGGAGCAAACAGGG
rnacentral:rRNA from 1 species